CAGCCAGCCUAGAGGAGGGCCCUGAAGUCUCUUCCUAAUGUGGACACAGGAUCAGAGCCGGGAAGUCACUUGCCCAAGAUAAUCAAGAUAAUACAACCAGUAUGAUAGCCAAAUCAGGGUUUGAACCCAGAGCUGUCUGAGUUCAAUACCCUUGUUGUUGUUGUUGUUGUUGUUUUCAGUGCCUUAUGUUAAAUUUAGAAACCUAAGCAAUGCUAUGCAAAUGUUAACUAGUUCUAGGAUGGAGUCCAGAACAUUGUGCAAACUCAAAUGCCCAGAAGGGUCUGGCAAGGGGUAUAAAUGAAAAUGUUGUGCACUUGGGAGUGAUGGUAACCUGGGGAACUGGAGACUUAUGUGCCAGUCCGAUUUUUAAAAUCACUGGUGCUGGACAAACCAAACCAGGUCUCCAGGAAGAUGUGGUCCAUGAGCUUCCAAUGUGAGACCCUUGGUCUAGUAGGAAUACUCCAGUCUCUUUUUAGAAAUUACUAGUAGAAAUGUGCACAUGAGUCACUGGUGAUCUUAUUAAAAUGCAGAUUCUGACUCAGUGAGUUUGGGGUGGGGCCAGAGAGUCUGCCUUUCUCACAGGCUUCCAGGUGCUGCCGUUGGUGCUGCUGGACGGAGCCGAAACUCGAGUAACAACCUCGAGUAGUAGGGAAUCAUGCGCAGCCAGCCCAAACGAGGAAGCCGAGUCACAGAGCUGUUAAGUAAUCAUGGUGGGAUUAGGCCUGCUUCUGACAGCAGUGCUCUCAGUCCUGACGUACUACACACUUGGAGAAGGUGAUCUGGAAGGUCCCGCAUUCCCUGUGUGGAGGCUGAAUGAGAUCCGGAGGUCAGGAGAGGAAGGGGGAGGCCAUCAGCAAGCAGAUGUUGGGGGGCUCUGCUCAGUCCCCUCCAACUUCGCACUUCACCGCACACCAGCCAACUCUUCCAACUGCCACCGCUGUGUCUCUCUGCCUGAGGGCUCUCGUUUGCCACUGGCACCUGCUCUGCCACCCACAGCAGGUCUGGAGGAUUAACACGGGCGAUCACUCUCCAAGGUGGACACUCCGCAGUGGCUCCCAGAGAUCCCCGGCCGGACUGAACUCUGGCUGCCCACAAUGAUCACUUGCUUGAUAACUGUGCCCACCCCCGCCCUUCCCUGUCUCCUCCAUCCCUAACGUAUGAUCACUUCCCAGAGGAACCACUUGCACUGAAAUCCUUGUCUCAGGCUCUGCUGUUGAGGAAACCGAAACUAAAGCUGGCCUCUGGUGCAGCAAGCUGAAAGCCAGUGGAGGUUUGGACAGAGAAUUCGGAGGAAGAGUGCCGGGGCUCGGCCCGUUUUUCUCGGGCAAGGGACUUCACCGUACUGUACCUGUUUCUUCAUCUGUAAGAGAGGCGUGCUAAUUUCAGUGCCCUCACAGCACGAUCUGGAGGAUUAAACAACAUGAUGAGUCUAAAGUAA